rnacentral:rRNA from 1 species
UAGAGUUUGAUCCUGGCUCAGGAUGAACGCUAGCUACAGGCUUAACACAUGCAAGUCGAGGGGCAGCAUGGUCUUAGCUUGCUAAGGCCGAUGGCGACCGGCGCACGGGUGAGUAACACGUAUCCAACCUGCCUUAUACUCCCGGACAGCCUUCUGAAAGGAAGAUUAAUACGGGAUGGCAUCACGAGCCAGCAUUUUCUCGUGAUUAAAGAAUUUCGGUAUAAGAUGGGGAUGCGUUCCAUUAGAUAGUAGGCGGGGUAACGGCCCACCUAGUCGACGAUGGAUAGGGGUUCUGAGAGGAAGGUCCCCCACAUUGGAACUGAGACACGGUCCAAACUCCUACGGGAGGCAGCAGUGAGGAAUAUUGGUCAAUGGGCGCGAGCCUGAACCAGCCAAGUAGCGUGAAGGAUGACUGCCCUACGGGUUGUAAACUUCUUUUAUAAAGGAAUAAAGUGAGGCACGUGUGCCUUUUUGUAUGUACUUUAUGAAUAAGGAUCGGCUAACUCCGUGCCAGCAGCCGCGGUAAUACGGAGGAUCCGAGCGUUAUCCGGAUUUAUUGGGUUUAAAGGGAGCGUAGAUGGGUUGUUAAGUCAGUUGUGAAAGUUUGCGGCUCAACCGUAAAAUUGCAAUUGAUACUGGCAGCCUUGAGUACAGUUGAGGUAGGCGGAAUUCGUGGUGUAGCGGUGAAAUGCUUAGAUAUCACGAAGAACUCCGAUUGCGAAGGCAGCCUACUAAACUGCCACUGACAUUGAUGCUCGAAAGUGUGGGUAUCAAACGGGAUUAGAUACCCUGGUAGUCCACACGGUA